CAUGUCUGGAGGACAGAGACAUUGUGACAGCAACAAAAUAAAUCCUUAUCUCUAUCAGAUGUUUAUGACAAAUAGAAAGUUGAAAAUGAAUUAUUACCUAGGAAAAAAGUCUACAAGGAAAAAAUGAAACUAUGUGGGGAUCUAUAAAUGAAAGACCCAGUAAAAAGAUUCACUGUCAUCUGAAGAAUCAAAGGCACAGCUUCGGUCAGAAAAAUAUGUCAAUCUCUCAGACAGAAGGCAACGUAUGUAAAAUGCAUAUGUGAUGAUGGCAAGGCAAAUGAGUGAAAUAUACAUUACUUUCUUUUGGGAUAGGAACUGUCAAGAGGAAACUUAUGGAUGCUUAUCAUGCUCUACAAUUUAUUAGAGGACUCUUGGAAUUCUCUGAGUAUGAAAGUCAUUUGGGAAGUUUUGUUUGUUUCAUUUGUCUUUAUUUUAUUCUAUAAUAGGGGUUGGAACUGUUGAGGAAGAAGAUAAAUAAAAAAUUGGAUCAUGUUGACAGAAUGAAGAAGCAGUAGGAGAAGAGAAAGUACAAGAGAAGA